rnacentral:rRNA from 1 species
AUUGAACGCUGGCGGCAUGCUUUACACAUGCAGGUCGAACGGUAACAGGCCUUCGGGUGCUGACGAGUGGCGAACGGGUGAGUAAUGCAUCGGAACGUGCCCAGAGGUGGGGGAUAACGCAGCGAAAGCUGUGCUAAUACCGCAUGUGAUCUGAGGAUGAAAGCGGGGGACCAGGCAGCAAUGUUUGGCCUCGCGCCUUUGGAGCGGCCGAUGUCAGAUUAGGUAGUUGGUGGGGUAAAGGCCUACCAAGCCGACGAUCUGUAGCUGGUCUGAGAGGACGACCAGCCACACUGGGACUGAGACACGGCCCAGACUCCUACGGGAGGCAGCAGUGGGGAAUUUUGGACAAUGGGCGCAAGCCUGAUCCAGCAAUGCCGCGUGCGGGAAGAAGGCCUUCGGGUUGUAAACCGCUUUUGUACGGAACGAAAAGGCUCUGGCUAAUACCUGGGGCUGAUGACGGUACCGUAAGAAUAAGCACCGGCUAACUACGU